rnacentral:rRNA from 1 species
AUUGAACGCUGGCGGCAGGCCUAACACAUGCAAGUCGAGCGGAUGAAGGGAGCUUGCUCCUGGAUUCAGCGGCGGACGGGUGAGUAAUGCCUAGGAAUCUGCCUGGUAGUGGGGGAUAACGUCCGGAAACGGGCGCUAAUACCGCAUACGUCCUGAGGGAGAAAGUGGGGGAUCUUCGGACCUCACGCUAUCAGAUGAGCCUAGGUCGGAUUAGCUAGUUGGUGGGGUAAAGGCCUACCAAGGCGACGAUCCGUAACUGGUCUGAGAGGAUGAUCAGUCACACUGGAACUGAGACACGGUCCAGACUCCUACGGGAGGCAGCAGUGGGGAAUAUUGGACAAUGGGCGAAAGCCUGAUCCAGCCAUGCCGCGUGGGUGAAGAAGGUCUUCGGAUUGUAAAGCACUUUAAGUUGGGAGGAAGGCAGUAAGUUAAUACCUUGCUGUUUUGACGUUACCAACAGAAUAAGCACCGGCUAACUUCGUG